rnacentral:rRNA from 1 species
UACGGGGGGAGCAAGCGUUGUCCGGAUUUACUGGGCGUAAAGGGCGCGUAGGCGGCGCAACAAGUCACUUGUGAAAUCUCCGGGCUUAACUCGGAGCGGCCAAGUGAUACUGUCGUGCUAGAGUGCGGAAGGGGCAACUGGAAUUCCCGGUGUAGUGGUGGAAUGCGUAAAUAUCGGGAGGAACACCAGUGGCGAAGGCGGUUGCCUGGGGCUUUGCUGACGCUGAUGCGCGAAAGCGUGGGGAGCGAUCCGG